GCAUGUGGUGGAUGCCUUGGCGAUUACAGGCGAUGAAGGACGCGGUAGCCUGCGAAAAGCUUCGGGGAGCUGGCAAACAAGCUUUGAUCCGAAGAUGUCCGAAUGGGGAAACCCGGCCCUUUUGGGUCACCUCUGACUGAAUACAUAGGUCAUUGGAGCGAACGCGGUGAACUGAAACAUCUAAGUAGCCGUAGGAAAAGAAAUCAACCGAGAUUCCCAGAGUAGUGGCGAGCGAAAUGGGAAGAGCCUUGUACCUUUUAGCAUGACGGUUAGCAAAACAGUCUGGAAAGUCUGGCCAUAGCAGGUGAUAGCCCUGUAUGCGAAAACCGAUGUGUGGAACUAGGGGUACGACAAGUAGGGCGGGACACGAGAAAUCCUGUCUGAAUAUGGGGGGACCAUCCUCCAAGGCUAAAUACUCCUGACUGACCGAUAGUGAACCAGUACCGUGAGGGAAAGGCGAAAAGAACCCCUGUGAGGGGAGUGAAAUAGAUCCUGAAACCGUAUGCGUACAAGCAGUCGGAGCGGACUUGUUCCGUGACGGCGUACCUUUUGUAUAAUGGGUCAGCGACUUAU
rnacentral:rRNA from 1 species